UACGUAGGGGGCGAGCGUUGUCCGGAGUUACUGGGCGUAAAAGGGCAUGCAGGCGGUCGGACGCGUUUUGUGUGACAGCGGGUGGCUCAACUACCCGAGCAUGCGAAAGACGGUCGGACUUGAGGACUCGAGAGGGACACGGAAUUCCGGGUGGAGUGGUGAAAUGCGUAGAGAUCCGGAGGAACACCGAAGGCGAAGGCAGUGUCCUGGCGAGUGACUGACGCUGAGGUGCGAAAGCCAGGGGAGCGAACGGG
rnacentral:rRNA from 1 species